UCAGUCGACUCCUACGGGGAGGCAGCAGUGGGGGAAUAUUGCACAAUGGGCGCAAGCCUGAUGCAGCCAUGCCGCGUGUGUGAAGAAGGCCUUCGGGUUGUAAAGCACUUUCAGUCGUGAGGAAGGUAGUGUAGUUAAUAGCUGCAUUAUUUGACGUUUAGCGACAGAAGAAGCACCGGCUAACUCCGUGCCAGCAGCCGCGGUAAUACGGAGGGUGCGAGCGUUAAUCGGAAUUACUGGGCGUAAAGCGCAUGCAGGUGGUUUGUUAAGUUCAGAUGUGAAAGCCCGGGGCGUCAACCUCGGAAUAGCAUUUGUAAACUAGGCAGACUAGAGUACUGUAGAGGGGGGUAGGAAUUUCAGGUGUAGCGGUGAAAUGCGUAGAGAUCUGAAGGAAUACCAGUGGCGAAGGCGGCCCCCUGGACAAAGACUGACGCUCAGAUGCGAAAGCGUGGGGAGCAAACAGGAUUAGAUACCCUGGUAG
rnacentral:rRNA from 1 species